GAAACCCGGGCUAAUACCGCAUAAGCCUGUAUAUUCGGUUAUAGAGGGGAAGCGACUUCGGUUGUACUGAAGGAGGAGUCCGCGUCCGAUUAGCUAGUUGGUAAGGUAAGAGCUUACCAAGGCGACGAUGGGUAGCCGGUCUGAGAGGACGGACGGCCACACUGGGACUGAGACACGGCCCAGACUCCUACGGGAGGCAGCAGUGGGGAAUUUUGGGCAAUGGGCGAAAGCCUGACCCAGCAACGCCGCGUGGAGGACGAAGGCUUUCGGGUCGUAAACUCCUGUCUAGAGGGACGAAGGAAGUGACGGUACCUCUGGAGGAAGCCCCGGCUAACUCCGUGCCAGCAGCCGCGGUAAUACGGGGGGGGCGAGCGUUGUUCGGAAUUACUGGGCGUAAAGGGCGCGCAGGCGGUUUUGGAAGUCAAGGGUGAAAGCCCCGGGCUCAACCCGGGGACUGCCCGUGAAACCACAAGGCUAGAGUGCUGGAGAGGGAAGUGGAAUUCCCAGUGUAGCGGUGAAAUGCGUAGAUAUUGGGAGGAACACCGGAGGCGAAGGCGGCUUCCUGGACAGACACUGACGCUGAGG
rnacentral:rRNA from 1 species